rnacentral:rRNA from 1 species
GACGAACGCUGGCGGCGUGCUUAACACAUGCAAGUCGAACGGAAAGGCCCUGCUUUUGUGGGGUGCUCGAGUGGCGAACGGGUGAGUAACACGUGAGUAACCUGCCCUUGACUUUGGGAUAACUUCAGGAAACUGGGGCUAAUACCGGAUAGGAGCUCCUGCUGCAUGGUGGGGGUAGGAAAGUUUCGGCGGUUGGGGAUGGACUCGCGGCUUAUCAGCUUGUUGGUGGGGUAGUGGCUUACCAAGGCUUUGACGGGUAGCCGGCAUGGGAGGGUGACCGGCCACAUGGGGACUGAGGUACGGACCAGACUCCUACGGGAGGCAGCAGUGGGGAAUAUUGCACAGUGGGCGGACGCCUGAUGCAGCAACGCCGCGUGCGGGAUGACGGCCUUCGGGUUGUAAACCGCUUUCGCCUGUGACGAAGCGUGAGUGACGGUAAUGGGUAAAGAAGCACCGGCUAACUACGUG